CCUGAAAUCUCUGGCCCGGAUACGUCCCUCUUUCUCCACCCCGCCGAGCCUAAACUAGAGACGGGGAGGCAGACAGAAUAGUGUGUCGGUUUCGUGGUCUCUGAAUCCACAACCUCUAGUCUGAACACAGAGAACACAAAUUUGUCGAUCACUUCAGGAAGCCCAGGAAGAACCACGCCCCGCUGAAGGGCUCAGGGAACGCGCGCUCCCCCGUCCCGCCCCCUCCUCCCCCAGCACUCACUCUGUGGUAGCGGCGGAGGGCGGAGGGAUCCGGAGGCGGCGGAGGGAGACGUCAUUGCAGGGUUGUUUGUCAGUCUCGGCGGCGGCGGCGGCGGCGGCGGCGGCGGCAGCGGCGAUCCACAGUGAUUCGGCCGCCGCGCCGGGGGGUGGGGGGGCUGCGCGGGACUCUUUUCUUUCAGACUGACCGCGGGGCAGCUGCGGAGCAUGUCGACCCCGGCCCGGAGGAGGCUUAUGCGGGAUUUCAAGCGGUUACAAGAGGACCCACCUGUGGGUGUCAGUGGCGCACCAUCUGAAAACAACAUCAUGCAGUGGAAUGCAGUUAUAUUUGGUGUAUGCUGAUGGUAGCAUAUGUUUAGAUAUCCUUCAGAAUCGAUGGAGUCCAACAUACGAUGUAUCUUCUAUCUUAACAUCAAUUCAGUCUCUGCUGGAUGAACCGAAUCCUAACAGUCCAGCCAAUAGCCAGGCAGCACAGCUUUAUCAGGAAAACAAACGAGAAUAUGAGAAAAGAGUUUCGGCCAUUGUUGAACAAAGCUGGAAUGAUUCAUAAUAGACAACUGGUCUGUUAAUCUUUUUCAUCAUUGUUGUGUAUAAUUUACCUCUCAGUAGAAAGGCUAACAAAUUUUAAGUGCCACAGGUUUUAAGGAUUCUGCAGAAAAAAAAGAAAAAAGUCCUUCAGUUUAGAACCUACAAAAGCUUGUGUAUCUUGAUUAAUGUACUUUUUAUUGCAUGGUGUGAACUAAGUUAUUGCUGCAUAAAUUUGUAAUAUAUCCUGUUUGUAUUUUUUUCCAAGUGUAUAAUGUUGGUGUGGAGUUUUCAUGACAGAAUAUACACAUUUUGUAAAUCUGUACUUUUUUCAAAUAUUGAAUGCCUUAUUUUUGAAUUCUUUAGAUUUUUAAAUUGGAGAAAAGCACUUAAAGUUUUUUAUAUAUGAAUAUUACAUGUAAAGCUGUUAAAAUACAUAACUUCAGUGCAAGAGACUUUGUCACUUAUUUCCUUAUGUGUGUAGGAGGGGUUAAUAAGUCUCUAGCUCUCCAUCUAUUGAUAGUUUCAUUUACAAUUUCAAAAGAACAUUCUUACAUUUUAUCAAGGAAGUCUUCAAAUUUGAUUCUAAAUAGCAAUUAUAAUCUCCAACUUUAUUUUGAAUGUACCUAUAUUAGUUUCAAUUGAGUAAUUCUAGACAUAACUGGUUUGGUUCUGUCCAACUCUGUAUUUAGGCCAUUUGUUACAGUUUCUUCAUGCAUUACUUACUGUUAAAACUGUACCUUUUGCGGUUUCACAGUUAGCACUUCUGCCACAAGCAGAGAACUGACGCGACUUGUUUUGCUGCUUGGUAGCACUUUAAAAAAUUUUUGAUUAACGAAGAAAGUAAAACCAUAAACAUUUGCCAAAAAUUCAUGCCCCAGUAUUAGCAAUGAAUUGAUUGCAUUGGUUUGAGAAAGGCACAUCUUGGAGGGAAAUCUUGGUGUAACUUAAAUAUUUGAAAAUUACCUUUAAUGCAAUGCAUAUCUGUUUAUUCUGGGAAAUGUUUUAAUGCCAGGGCCUGCUGAGUUGCUUCUUCUUGUGGAGAUUUUUUUUUUUUUUAAUCUCCUGAGUUGUAUAAAAGUUGUACUGCAUCUUAGUUUACUGGAUAAAUUUAAAACACAGUAUUGUAGAAAGCUAAUACAAAACUAUCCUAUGCCUUCAAAUAGUAUAGAAAAUGGAAAAUAUACAAGUAAAUUCUGUUGAACCACCU